AAUAGUUUUGAUUUCUGACGGAUUACAAUGUGGAGCACCACAGUGAAGUCAAAAUGUAAGUGAGAGCCGACCGUCUGGGCAACGUUU
rnacentral:ncRNA from 2 species